rnacentral:lncRNA from 1 species
UGAAGAAACCUAUACUUUGGACUUUGUUUUUGUAUAUAUACACCUUGUACAGUGGCAGCAGUGGAUAUCCUAUGUGUUCACCUGGGAGUUCCAGCUCAGUCACAAGAACACAGGUAAUGACAAGAUUGCCUAGCCACACACCACCAUCCACAAUUCUCUAGCCAGGAUUCCAAAAUAGGCCUUCGUAUACUCCGCCGAUGUCUAUAUUGAACUCCAAAUGUGACCACGAUUAUUGUGAUUUACAUCUCUCACUGGAUGCGAUGACAACAAUAAUCGCACCAAGGCGAACUAUAAGGUUAAUUGUAAAAUAUAAUUACCAUAGCCGAUGCUAAUCCGAACUAAGUUCUCUAUGUCCCCCUCUUGGUGUUCUUUGCUCCAACCACCCUGGUUUGUCCUACUUUGGCAUGACCAAGGUCUGACAAAGCC